rnacentral:rRNA from 1 species
AUGGAGCACGGGCGAGACGAGGAAGCAGAAGAGGUGUUGGGGGACAUAAUCUUAGCCGAAGAAGGAGACCGUGGUGACGGCUCCGGUGACCGAACAAAGUCCGGCCAGCCCUCCGGAUCGAGCACAACUUCGGUAAAGAGACGAGGCCCGAAGAAAAAGUUGCGCUCGGAUGAAAGGUUUGAGAUCACAGCAAUCGCGCGCGAUGGCCAACUGAUUGAACCCAUCCGGACAAAGGAAGCAUUUUCUGCUCAGUGCGGGGUUCUUGUUAGGGACAAGAUCCCGAUCAGCAUCCACCAAUGGUAUAAGCCUAAGAACGAAGACCCUGAGGUGUCUUAUGUCAAUGAUAUGCAGAAAGAUGAUCUUUGGACUGAGCUGAAGGAAAAUUUCACCCUACCGCCAGAGGAGGAUCCGGAGAAGCCAGUUCAAGAGCAAUUAAUCAAGUCUCAUGCUCUUAAGAAGAUGGCAGACCUAUUCAGGAGGUGGAAGAAUGAGCUGAAAACGUUUGUCGACAAAGAAGAGACACCAGAAUUCAUCGGCAAAUAUGAGAAGAUCAGAGAUCACUGGCCCGCAUUUUUGGCCCACAAGACAUCGAAAAAGAGUAAGAAGAUGUCAGCGACAAACAAGGAAAAUGCUGCGAAGAAGAAGCUUCACCAUCACACGGGGUCAGGUGGCUACCUCAAAGCCCGACCAUACAAUGAACUGGCCAAACCGUUGCCGGACUUGGUUCUUCGGGGCUGGCGGAACCUUGGACCCUAUAUCAAGGAAAGUGCGUUUGGACGGAUGAGCAAAUGA